AGGUUUCCUCCCCUUCAAGCUCGGUAUGGAAAGUCCUUCUCCUUUUCUUGAUCCUCCCUCCCUCAUUGAUCUACAGUCUCCUCUUCUUUUAUUCCUCUACGAGUUGGAGCUGAGCGGCAACGACGGUGCUAGUGGUGGAGGAAAUGUGGCAUGUGAAGAGCGAGAUCAAGCGCAUCGAGAAUUCCACCAACCGGCAUGUCACCUUCUACAAGCACCGCAAUGAGAUCAUUAAGUAGAUGAUAAAGAUCAGCAUCCUCUAUGAAGAGCAAGUCUCGUUCAUCAUAUUCUCAAGCUCUGGUAAGAUGUCUGAGUACUGCAGCCCCUCCACAAUUUUGAGACUUUGAUGACGCUUGCGAAUGGAGCUGUGUCAGCUUGCCGAAGAUUUUGGAGAGGUACUAGACGAACUCCGGCAAAAAUAUCUGGUAUGCAAAGCACGAGGUUAUGAUGGCUCAGUGGCAGAUUGGGAGGAUUAUUCUAGAUAUGUUAACCAUGAUGGAAUAGAGGUGUCUCCACAUGUGGUAUGAAGUUCAAGGCAGUCUGGUAACAUACUUCUAAGGGAUGUUAUACUACUGCAGUCCGUUGAAGAAGGCAUUUUCCAUGUCCUAUUUGGAUGCACUUCACUAAUAGUAAUUCAAAAUUUCGCCCCAUUGUACCACUAAUACAAGCUCUGCUUCUAGCCCCCUUGAUCAAGUUGAUGACAGUUUUUCACAGUGGAAACAUCCUUCUGUGCAUCGCGCUCUUUCUCAGGUUCAUCAAUUUUGCAUUUUCAUGGUAUAUCAAAUAUGGGUUUAUUUUUUUUCCCUAAACUAUCAAUAUCUCACUGCUAAUUGUUACUGCAGAUAAUGACUAUGUCAUCAUCAUUAGUAUAUCAUCCUCUUCUUCAUGCUUGUGCGGGAUAUCUGCUUCUUUUCUAUCAUCUCAUGUUUGUUUGUUUCUUUCAAAUCUGCAUUAUAAAUAAAGCCAUAGGCUAUAUGCAUACUCAUUUUGGCUGUUUGUCUAAGCAUGUCAUUUAUUUUCAAAUUAUUAGGCAACAACAGCUUGUGUGCUUAUUGAUCUAUGUUCUAGACCUUUAUCACCAAAGAUACCUACAAUUACUACAAUGGUUUUGUCAUAGUUCCCCAUCAUGAGUCUCCAUCUUAUGUGAAUCAAUUCAGUUAUAUAACUACUACUGCCCCCUUUUUUCAGGUUGAUCUUGCAAUUGAACUCAUAGAGGACUUCUUGGGUGUUAUUCAGGUAAGUUAAUUCUGUUAAUUUCUUACCACAGCAUCUUAUCACUUUGACACUUCCUAGAUUUUCCCCCAAAUCAUCUGCCAUCUGUCAAAUUUUUGUAACAAAUAAUAUUAUAUUCUUCCUUCAUGCACAUGAAAGAUUUAUGAUCCUGUUUGUUUUAGCUUAUUUCCAUUAGACUAGCUUAUUUCCAUGCUUGACUCUAUCCUCAAUCUCCUUAUCAGAAUGCUCCCCAAUCUAUUGCUCGUGCUCGCUCUGCAUUGAAGUAUAUCUUGUUGGUCAUCUUUGCACAUGUGGAUGAUGUUCUAGCAAAAUAUAAGGUUUGACUUUCUGAUAAAGGGUUGAUUCACAGAUUAAACACAACCAAGUUCAGCAAUACUUGACAAUACCAUGCAUGGUAUUGUCUCUACGGCUGAACUUGGUCACAUGCUAGGGAUGUUGUUUUCUCUCACCAGCAGUGCGUAGUAAAAUAGAUAUGUCACACAAGUUGCUUUGUUAAAUGCAAUCUGAAUGAGGAUUAUCUAGUAUUAGACAUGUGAUAUAUGGUCCACCUUAUUUUAGUUACCAUACUGGUCCAGAUGUAACAUGUAUGUUUUAACACAUCAACUAACAUAAUUAUACUUACCAUUGAACAAGGGAAUUACCCCUCAUAAUUUUCCUGUCUCUUUUGUAACUUUAUAGUUUAUAGAUCUCUAUCGGCUAGGUGGUAUUGUUUUGUUAUAUUCCAAAUUGAAUUUCAAUAAUUUUUUUUCACCUCCAUCACCAAUUCUAGAUUCCCAUUAUGUUGUGAGAAUCUACAUAAAUCUAGUGCUCCAUAUAUUUAUGAUGUUGGUCUCAUUUUCUCCAUAUGUGCCAAGACAAUAUUUGUUCCUCUUUGGCUAUUUCAUGAUGUUAUAGCACGAGGGAGGUUCUCCUUACCUGCUCCGUCAUUGUCUCAUGAUCGCCAUGUAUGAUUUAACUUCUAAUGUCUAUUCAAGCAAAUGUUUUUGUUCUAUUGCUUACGGUGUGGCUUGUAAUAAUUCAGUUCAGUAACCUGGCCUGAUGUACUUCUUUUUAUACAAUGGGCACCUUGUCAUGCUAUUGUUGCAAUACCUUUGUUAAUUGCCUUUGAACUAUUUCUUUGUAUAUAUCUUCACGAUAUAGGUGGUAAGACACAAUUUGUUAAUAGUCAAUUUAUAUGAACUCUACUGAUAGUUCUUAUUUGGAAUUGCAUACAGUUAAUGUUGGACGUUAUAUCAACCUAAAGGUUGUGUUCCUUCCACUUUUGGCCUUUGAGAUAACCAUUCUUGUUGAUAAUUUUAGGUAUAAAUAUAUUUAUGUUUGUAUUUAUGUUAUCUUAAACGGAAAUAGCAGGUAAAUAUGUAUUUAUGCUAUCUUAGAGGGAAAUAGCAGGUAAAUAUAUUUAUGUUUAUAUUUAUAUUGCACCUUAAAUCCAGCUCAGAAUUUACUAUUCAAAAGAUAUCAUAUUUUGUGUAUUAGUGCAUGAUAGAUACAAAACUCAUGAUUGCAUAUAAUAAAGAUUAUGAUUAGUUGUUUUUAAGUUCCUCGGAUUGAAGCAUGGUCGAAACAAAGAAGGGUCUCGAUAUGGAGGAAGAUCAUUGGAGAUUGGCAUGUUACUAUUAGUCUGCUUUCUUACUCAUUCUUAAGUUCGUGCGAUGUGUUGACAUUUUGAGAUGCUUGCACCACCACCAGGUCAAACCUUUGAUGGAGCAUAAGAGGCAAAGUUUCCAACUAGACAUCCUUUGGAGAACUGUGAAACUGAGAAGUUCCAUUAGCAAUAAGAGAGGCUGAAUCUACUAGAUUUGAGAAAUGACAAGUAUUGUAUAUAAUUGUGUAUAUAUAUUUUGCUACAAGUUUGUACAUAUAUAUGCCUACAAGAAGUGAUUAUUUAAAAUGGGAUGAUAUAUAUAUAUAUAUAUAGACAAUGAUUUAUUAUA